rnacentral:lncRNA from 1 species
CUAACAUAUGAUACAAAUAUUGACGAAAAUAAAACUGUUACUCUCCUAUCAAAUGGAAAAUUAAUUUUAUCACUGGAUAAAGACAUGUAUGAAAAAAGUUAGACUUCAAAGUCAUCCAUUUAUUGAUUCUACUGAUUCGAUGAGUUUAUCGUUUGACCCAGAUUCUAAGAACUAUGAAAAAGCAUCUUGGUUCUUCAAAGAAAAUAAGCCAUUAAAAUAUGAUUUAUUUUGGUUUGGCAUCAUACAGGUGCAGAAUAAUCAAUGAUUAUGUCAUACUUUUCCAAUGACCAGAUUAUGCACAUCAGCCCAAGCAGCGCUGAGCCUAUUGGCAGAUUCACAGAUCCAGGCACUGUUGUGCAAGGAGGCAAGAGGAGACCUAAGGUAUCUUCCCUGCUCAGAAUCCCUCUAUCAGCUCCUUCAGUAAUACUGACCUGUGUGGAUCUGAACUCCCUGAAU